CACUAAGAAGCUAAAUUAGCGUUAACCUU
rnacentral:tRNA from 1 species